rnacentral:rRNA from 1 species
GACGAACGCUGGCGGCGUGCUUAACACAUGCAAGUCGAACGGAAAGGCCCUGCUUUUGUGGGGUGCUCGAGUGGCGAACGGGUGAGUAACACGUGAGUAACCUGCCCUUGACUUUGGGAUAACUUCAGGAAACUGGGGCUAAUACCGGAUAGGAGCUCCUGCUGCAUGGUGGGGGUUGGAAAGUUUCGGCGGUUGGGGAUGGACUCGGGGCUUAUCAGCUUGUUGGUGGGGUAGUGGCUUACCAAGGCUUUGACGGGUAGCCGGCCUGAGAGGGUGACCGGCCACAUUGGGACUGAGAUACGGCCCGGACUCCUACGGGAGGCAGCGGUGGGGAAUAUGGCACAAUGGGCGGAGGCCUGAUGCAGCAACGCCGCGGGCGGGAUGACGGCCUUCGGGUUGUAAACCGCUUUCGCCUGUGACGAGGGGUGAGUGACGGUAAUGGGUAAAGAAGCACCGGCUAACUACGUG